rnacentral:rRNA from 1 species
UUUUAUGGAGAGUUUGAUCCUGGCUCAGAGUGAACGCUGGCGGCGUGCCUAAUACAUGCAAGUCGAACG